CCUACGGGGGGCUGCAGUGGGGAAUAUUGCACAAUGGGCGCAAGCCUGAUGCAGCCAUGCCGCGUGUGUGAAGAAGGCCUUCGGGUUGCAAAGCACUUUCAGCGGGGAGGAAGGCGUUAAGGUUAAUAACCUUGGCGAUUGACGUUACCCGCAGAAGAAGCACCGGCUAACUCCGUGCCAGCAGCCGCGGUAAUACGGAGGGUGCAAGCGUUAAUCGGAAUUACUGGGCGUAAAGCGCACGCAGGCGGUCUGUCAAGUCGGAUGUGAAAUCCCCGGGCUCAACCUGGGAACUGCAUUCGAAACUGGCAGGCUAGAGUCGUGUAGAGGGGGGUAGAAUUCCAGGUGUAGCGGUGAAAUGCGUAGAGAUCUGGAGGAAUACCGGUGGCGAAGGCGGCCCCCUGGACAAAGACUGACGCGCAGGUGCGAAAGCGUGGGGAGCAAACAGGAUUAGAUACCUGGUAGUC
rnacentral:rRNA from 1 species